UAUAUCAAGAAGACCAUGUGGGACAGUUUCUCAGAGUCCCAGUUGUGUUCUGGAAAGCACAGCGGAGGGAGCUUCAGGUUGAGGAGUUCCCAGACCCUGAGUGUACGCAUGCAGCUUGAGAUGUGUGUUCCAGUAGCGGGUUUCCCACUGAAAAGUUCAGUCCAGAAAGGAGGAACAGAAUAUAGAUACAGCUGGAGCCGUCUGUAUGUUGCUGUCUUUUUGAGCAGUGGAAGAUGA
rnacentral:lncRNA from 1 species